rnacentral:lncRNA from 1 species
AGUUAUCUUGGCUCCCAUCCCACAAUGCCUCAGGGUGAGAGAUUUUCCCUCAGCUCUGGAAGCCAAUGUCUAUCAUGAAGGUGAGGCAGGUUGGUUACUGUGAGGGGGACACUCCUGGUGUGCUUUCCAACACCUCGGGAGAGGGAGGUUGUAUGGAGAAAGAGGAAAGAGAGAGAGAGAGAGAGAGAGAGAGAAGGGAGGGAAGAGAGUGUGAGUCAUUGCACAGGACUGCGGAUUAGGGACCCAUGUUUAUACUGAUUAACUAUAAUUACUUCACUCCCAUGGAGACUGUAUCUGUAAAUAUAGAUACCGGGCCUCACGGCUAGAACAUAAGAAACGAAGGACACAGUUCAGAUGGUGACAACACUGGUGACCAACACAUCAACAUAGCUUCCUGGGACAAACGCUCAAGACACGACAUUAAGCACCGGAGGCUCCAUGCCAGGCCGGCUCCUCUACCCUGUCACUGACUUCCUUCUGUUUUCCAUGUAGACAGCAGACACACCAUCAGGGAGCCCCUGGGUAUCUCCAGAACAUGGCAAGCCGUGGAUACCUGCAUCACCUGCUGACUGCAGAGGGAGCCUGGGAGGAGUUUGUAUCAAAGGCCAAGUUGCCCAGGGAUAGGGCAGUGGCCCUCCACAAAGCACUGAGGGAUCUGACAGCACUCUUGGCCAUAGCAGAAAGAGGCAGAUCUCGGAAAGGCUGGAAAGGCAAGGAGAAGUUUGUGAAAGCAUU